UAUAAUGUAUAUUUCACAGUGAUGAAAGACAGAAAUAGUUAUAGUCAAGUGACACAACCAAAAAGAUCAUUGUUUAAUAAAGUCCGCUUUGAAGAUUCAGUAAGGGUAUUGACAGGGCUUUAGUUGAUAGUACUUUACUAAUGAAAGCAUUCCUCUGCAUUCCCCACAGUCUGAGAGUCACCACCUCCAUAUAUCCUGUUCCCUCAAUCAGUGCAGAGGACCAGAUUGCUGACUGGUUUGCAUCUCUAGAUGAGUGUCUUCGCUGGAAUGCCGCAAGCGCCAAAGGCACUUCGAUGAUCCGGAUGACCUCCCCCCCCCGGACCUCAUUCCAGACCUAACCCAUUCCUCCAGUCCAGACACUCUGGGACUCCCUCAGCGAGAGAAACGAAGGCUUUGAUAAUUAGGCUGGUCCAAUGUGAAAGGGAUCAUGAGCAGAAGAUGCACAUAGCACUAGUGAAUAUGAAAAAAGUGACUUUGUGGCCAGUGCAUGGAUUGCGUUUCUCUGACUGAUAUAGUGUACAUUCAUGUCAAGUCCUCAAAGUGCUGUAUUAUUCUCAAAUUAGAAUAUCUAUAUAUAAAAGAUGUCAGCACACUUUUUAACAUAUUUCAUCUAUGUGGUCUCAUGUACUGUAUCAUCACAUAAACUGUUAUUUUGUCUUGACAUUCUUGUUGAUAUGUGAGGAUGGUUAUCAUUUGCUCAGGUUCUCGGCAUCAGGUGUCAUUUCACAGCAGAAAAGAGAAGACAUAUUUGUCA